rnacentral:rRNA from 1 species
GGGUUGUGAGGUUAAGCGACUAAGCGUACACGGUGGAUGCCCUGGCAGUCAGAGGCGAUGAAGGGCGUGCUAAUCUGCGAUAAGCGCCGGUAAGGUGAUAUGAACCGUUAUAACCGGCGAUACCCGAAUGGGGAAACCCAGUGUGACUCGUCACACUAUCAUUAACUGAAUCCAUAGGUUAAUGAAGCGAACCGGGGGAACUGAAACAUCUAAGUACCCCGAGGAAAAGAAAUCAACCGAGAUUCCCCCAGUAGCGGCGAGCGAACGGGGAGGAGCCCAGAGCCUGAAUCAGCAUGUGUGUUAGUGGAAGCGUCUGGAAAGGCGCGCGAUACAGGGUGACAGCCCCGUACACAAAAGCGCAUGUGCUGUGAGCUCGAUGAGUAGGGCGGGACACGUGGUAUCCUGUCUGAAUAUGGGGGGACCAUCCUCCAAGGCUAAAUACUCCUGACUGACCGAUAGUGAACCAGUACCGUGAGGGAAAGGCGAAAAGAACCCCGGCGAGGGGAGUGAAAAAGAACCUGAAACCGUGUACGUACAAGCAGUGGGAGCCCCACCACUAAGCCAGUGGUGAACUCCACAUACGCAUCCUUUGCUGAGGAUACGGUUAACGGAGCGAAAGCGACGUUCAACCGCAAAAGAAGCAGAGGGGGCUUAGUGGUGG